rnacentral:misc_RNA from 1 species
AAGUCGUAACAAGGUUUCCGUAGGUGAACCUGCGGAAGGAUCACUAAAGUAAACGCCCUCCGGGGCUCUCUUUAUUCACACACCCCUGUGCACUUUGGCCACCUGCCGCGCUUCACUGCGUUAGUAGGUGUGUCUUUAUAAUUAUACCCAUAUACACAAGUCAUUGAAUGUAAAAUCGUUAUAAACUAAUAUAA